CCCUUAGAUGUUCUGGGCCGCACGCGUGCUACACUGAGUGGAUCAGCGGGUCAGGUUGCGCGAAAGUGUUUCCUAAUCUUGAAAUCCGCUCGUGAUGGGGAUUGACGGUUGCAAUUUUCCGUCAUGAACGAGGAAUACCUUGUAAGCGCGGGUCAUCAUCCCGCGCUGAAUACGUCCCUGCCCUUUGUACACACCGCCCGUCGCUCCUACCGAUUGAGUGGUCCGGUGAGGCUUUGGGAUCUGAGCAAAGAGAGCGUUUCGCUCGUUUCGCCCGGAAAACUCAGUCGAACCUUAUCAUUUAGAGGAAGGAGAAGUCGUAACA
rnacentral:rRNA from 1 species